rnacentral:tRNA from 1 species
GGCGAGGUAGCUCAGCCUGGUUUAGAGCGCUAGACUCAUAAUCUAGAGGUUCGCGGGUUCAAAGCCCGUCCUCGCCA